UAGGUACAAACAGCAAGCAGGCUUUUCAUUUUCAAAACCUUUUUGGCUUUACUUGUUUUAAAACCAGGUCAGGAGUACAGAGUGAAUUAUUAAGUCCUCAAGAUUUUGGGGGGAAACUUUUAGGAUCAGCCAAACACAGCCUUUGCUGGUGAGACAGCUAAAUAUAUUUGGGUAGAGAGCAGACUGUAUUUCUCCAAAGUGGACAAGUAUGUUCCUCAUACUGCUGUUCCAUUGUUCAAGAGAGAGUAUGUCCCUUCUUCUUGAAACUGGACACAGAGAGAAAUCAAGAGGGAAGGGGAAGAUAGACACCUUUAACACUUCCUCACUACUCAUGAAGCUUCCUCCUGCAGUCACCAAAUUGUAGAUACUACUAUGAUACCAAUCUGACUUCCCUGGACAGAUGACCUCACCAAUAUAUCCUGGAACCCCACCUCUCCAGAGUCCUGCCCCACUAGGGAAAUAUAGGAACAGGUUGGGAGUAUGGAUCGACCUGCCAAUGCCCACAAGAAGCAAUUACAGAAGUCAGACCUUCUACCUCCUGCAUCCCAUAAUGAUCCUGUGUCCAUACUCCCAGAGGAAUAAAGAAUAGGACGGCUUUCAAGGGAGGGGAUAUGGAACUCUGGUAGUGGGAAUUGUGUGAUGGGAACUGUCCCCAUCUUAUUCUACGGUCUUGUCGAUAUUUUUUAUUUUAUAAAGAAAUAGA